rnacentral:rRNA from 1 species
UGGGGAAUAUUGGACAAUGGGCGAAAGCCUGAUCCAGCAAUGCCGCGUGAGUGAUGAAGGCCUUAGGGUUGUAAAGCUCUUUUACCCGGGAUGAUAAUGACAGUACCGGGAGAAUAAGCUCCGGCUAACUCCGUGCCAGCAGCCGCGGUAAUACGGAGGGAGCUAGCGUUAUUCGGAAUUACUGGGCGUAAAGCGCACGUAGGCGGCUUUGUAAGUUAGAGGUGAAAGCCUGGAGCUCAACUCCAGAAUUGCCUUUAAGACUGCAUCGCUUGAAUCCAGGAGA